UACGUAGGGGGCAAGCGUUGUCCGGAUUUAUUGGGCGUAAAGAGCGUGUAGGCGGCUUGGUAGGUCCGCUGUGAAACUCGAGGCUCAACCUCGAGAUGUCGGCGGAAACCACUUGGCUAGAGUCCGGAAGAGGAGAGUGGAAUUCCUGGUGUAGCGGUGAAAUGCGCAGAUAUCAGGAAGAACACCUAUGGCGAAGGCAGCUCUCUGGGACGGUACUGACGCUGAGACGCGAAAGCGUGGGGAGCGAACAGG
rnacentral:rRNA from 1 species